GCCAGGCAGGUGGUCUUUGCCUCAGAAGUCCAGAAGUCCUUGAGGUUCCUCACCAUGGCUUGGGCUCUGCUCUUCUUUACCCUCCUCAAUAUUUGUGCAGGUGUCACUUCCCAGCCAACAGUGACUCAACCUGCCUCCCAAUCGGUGUCUCCUGGACAAACAACGACCCUUUCCUGCUCCAAAAGUAGUGGCAGCUGG